CUGAACCAAGUAUCGGGCCAGAGCAUCUAGUGUCUACACACUCGGACU
rnacentral:sRNA from 1 species